CGAGAGCCUGAACCAGCCAAGUCGCGUGAAGGAUGAAGGAUCUAUGGUUUGUAAACUUCUUUUAUAUGGGAAUAAAGUGAGGAACGUGUUCCUUUUUGUAUGUACCAUAUGAAUAAGCAUCGGCUAACUCCGUGCCAGCAGCCGCGGUAAUACGGAGGAUGCGAGCGUUAUCCGGAUUUAUUGGGUUUAAAGGGUGCGUAGGUGGUUAAUUAAGUCAGCGGUGAAAGUUUGUGGCUCAACCAUAAAAUUGCCGUUGAAACUGGUUGACUUGAGUAUAUUUGAGGUAGGCGGAAUGCGUGGUGUAGCGGUGAAAUGCAUAGAUAUCACGCAGAACUCCGAUUGCGAAGGCAGCUUACUAAACUAUAACUGACACUGAAGCACGAAAGCGUGGGGAUCAAACAGGAUUAGAUACCCUGGUAGUCCACGCAGUAAACGAUGAUUACUAGCUGUUUGCGAUACACAGUAAGCGGCACAGCGAAAGCGUUAAGUAAUCCACCUGGGGAGUACGCCGGCAACGGUGAAACUCAAAGGAAUUGACGGGGGCCCGCACAAGCGGAGGAACAUGUGGUUUAAUUCGAUGAUACGCGAGGAACCUUACCCGGGUUUGAACGCAUUCGGACCGGAGUGGAAACACUUCUUCUAGCAAUAGCCGUUUGCGAGGUGCUGCAUGGUUGUCGUCAGCUCGUGCCGUGAGGUGUCGGGUUAAGUCCCAUAACGAGCGCAACCCCUACCGUUAGUUGCCAUCAGGUCAAGCUGGGCACUCUAGCGGGACUGCCGGUGUAAGCCGAGAGGAAGGUGGGGAUGACGUCAAAUCAGCACGGCCCUUACAUCCGGGGCGACACACGUGUUACAAUGGUGGGGACAAAGGGCAGCUACCUGGCGACAGGAUGCUAAUCUCCAAACCCCAUCUCAGUUCGGAUCGAAGUCUGCAACCCGACU
rnacentral:rRNA from 1 species